rnacentral:rRNA from 1 species
UACGAAGGGGGCUAGCGUUGCUCGGAAUUACUGGGCGUAAAGCGCACGUAGGCGGUCUUUUAAGUCGGGGGUGAAAUCCUGGAGCUCAACUCCAGAACUGCCUUCGAAACUGACGAUCUUGAGUUCGGGAGAGGUGAGUGGAACUGCGAGUGUAGAGGUGAAAUUCGUAGAUAUUCGGAAGAACACCAGUGGCGAAGGCGACUCGCUGGACAAGUAUUGACGCUGAGGUGCGAAAGCGUGGGGAGCAAACAGG